GGCAGGAUGGAGAAGUGGAAUCUCGCAAGGCUCAUAUCCUUGAGAACGGCGGUUCAAAUCCGUUUCCUGCAA
rnacentral:tRNA from 1 species